rnacentral:rRNA from 1 species
UACAGAGGAUGCAAGCGUCAAUCGGAAUUACUGGGCGUAAAGCGUGCGCAGGCGGUCCGUUAAGACAGAUGUGAAAUCCCCGGGCUUAACCUGGGAACUGCAUUUGUGACUGGCGGACUCGAGUAUGGCAGAGGGGGGUAGAAUUCCACGUGUAGCAGUGAAAUGCGUAGAGAUGUGGAGGAAUACCGAUGGCGAAGGCAGCCCCCUGGGCCAAUACUGACGCUCAUGCACGAAAGCGUGGGGAGCAAACAGG